UUCUCCUUUUAAUGGAGUUAUUCAGUAAGAAGUAUAGCAUAUCAUAAGUAAAUAAUCUGGAAAUUAAUUACAUAUGGCGAAUCUAAUGCCUUGUUAAUGUUGUGCUGAUAUCUCCCAGAUUCUGUCACGGUAUUGUCCAGUGUUGCAUGGUUUUUCUGUUCUUUUUAGCAUUUCUCCAGCACAAAUCCUAGAUCGGAUCGCCUUCUACCCAGAAUUUAAUAUUGAAGUACAGCGGGCGAAGGCCAGUGAAAUGGGCCUGGGUGUUCAGGGCAGUGGAACAGCGAUGAGGUACUUAGAGCUCUAGGAAUAAGAGAUACUUCAAAGCUGCUUGCAGGGUGUUAACUUGAUUGCUUCAGCUUAGGGAGAAAGAGGAGGCAGCCUGGUGAGUCUGUCCUCACAGAAAUGGACUCCUUCCUGAACCGCGAGGGUCCCCAGAGGGAUCCGUCGGGGAGGGUUAUGUCCUGCUGUAUUUUCCUGGCAGAAGUGUGUUUAUGUGCCCUUCGGGAGAGCACUUCAAAGCUUGGAAGGUUACUUCAAAAGCUCUGCAUCCUCCCUCCAUGACUGGAGCUAAACCGAUUUGAGGGCUGAGCUCUGGAAACCUUGAAUACACGGGCAGACCAGCAGGUAGGCCGAACACACAUGCUUACCCAGAGCAUCAGCUCAACGCCCCGCCCCUUUGCCUCUUCAGGGGGAGGAGGGAGGGGCUGUGUAGUGCGAGGCUCUCUGAAAUCUGGGAAGGGACCUCUUUGUCUAGGUUAAGUCUGGACUUUAGCUGUGCUCUCCACUGAACCUCCGGGUUUGUUUCCAUGGCACCAGGCCAGCCCAGCAGCAUCUUCCAGGAAUUCAGUGAACAACUGCCUUGCUUCUUGCUGCUGUGCCUGGGCACCUCAGGUCCUGGAAUUCCCAUUAGUUGACAUUGACUUUUCUUUGGCUAGUUAAAAAUAAAUAAACAAACAAACAAAUAAAUAAAUGAAUGGCAAACUUCCUCUGCCUGACUCCUUCUAGGAGAAAGUCUAGAAUAUGGAAGGGAGCUCCAUUCUACCUGGAGAUGUGGGACACUGAGUAGAUAGCUCCUGGAAGCCAGUGUUAACCACAAACAUGCCGUCCAGGUCCCCUCCAAAAGCAGUUGGUUUUGUUGGUAGUGGUGGUAGUGGUGUUUUGUUUUUGUUUGUUUUUUUUCUCUCAUCAAAAGAGACAAACACCAGAUUUCCAGAUGUAUUCUUCAGGGCUCAGUCUUUCAUCUAGAAGCCCAUUCAUUCAUUGUAGCUGGCUGUUGAGUUAUGACAAUAGAAAUGUAGGCUGCCCUCUUCCACGCCUAUACUGCCUAUACUGGAGGAACAGAUAGGGCCUAUACAGACCAGUAAAGGAAUGUGAUAGGCUAAGUAUGGCGGCAUGGGCCUCAGGAGGUUCGGUCAGGAAGGCUGUGGUUUAAGGCUAGUCUAUGUUAUACAAGAAGACUUUGUCUCCAAAAACCAACUUGACAUAUAUAGAAGGGAGGGAGAGACUUGAGAAAUGGAGGGAAGGGAGAAAGGAGGUAAGGACAGAGAUUGAAACAGAGGUGGGGGGGAGGAGCUUUGCGGGCAUAAGGACCAGGGAAGAGCAUGAACACAGGAAAUCAGAACUGGGAAGCUUCUACCUGCAGCUCAGCUCCAAAGCAAGGUCUCCAGUAGUCCUUACCAUUCGGGCAAGGACAGACAGACUGCCCUUGCACAGAGGGCGUGCCCUCCAGUCAGACUUAAGACUGUGCAGCAAGGGGGAUGUCGCUUCCUCUCUCUGGCAUACCAGAUGAUUUUCGGAAUGAUGGCUUCCCGUACACGUCUCAUCAAUAAAGCUUUUCACCACUCCUAGAAUACGAUAGCUAAGGGAAGUUGCUACAAAACAAAAUACAUAAAACACGGAAACCCGAUGUGUUUUAGGAAACCGAUGCCUGCUUCUUACUAAGGGGGGAAAAAGCUGACAUCAAGAAACAAAGGGCCCCUUGCCGCCCCGUUCUUAUUCUAUCCCGGGUUAGAAAACACCUUCUUGUUUAUUCUGUGACCUGUGACUGCGGUACCUAGAGCUUAGCUCUAGAAAUAUAAAAGAAGAGAAAGAUGUCUCCAAACAGCUUUUUUCUGAGCAGGCCCCCUCCCCCAGGGCUGUUCGCUGUCAUCCUCUUUUCUUCUCGGCUUCCUCUUCCCUUCAGCUUGACGUCUCCUCAAACGCUACCUGACAGACUGCCGCCAUCACCCCGUGAAUGAGGUGAAGAGUCAAAAAUAACCUUGAUGAGCUGUGGUGGAGUUUCCUGGGAGUCAGCUGACUGCUCCUGAGCAUGUAUAGCACACCUGCUGCACUAUACAAGUGCCUUCCAUCAUGGAGCAUCACUCAAGAGAGAAAACGGUCAGCAGAGAAUAAAAGACGAAACAAAGGAGUGGGACCAUAGCAACAGGGAGAGCAGAAAACGCUGAGCUGGGAGUCCAAACUGGAUUUUAACAACAACAACAAAAAUGCUCAACGCUCCUUGCUAUGGUUUGCUCCCUUUGAAGCUUAUGUUGAAAUUUGAUUGGCAGUUUGGGGGGGUGGGAUGGGGACUUUAAGUGGUGAUUAGGAUUCCAAGAGGAAUGAAAUCCUAUCUCAGAGCAGGUUGUAGUAAGGCAAGGCUACCCCAUAAGUUCUGACAGCCCCAUGCCCAUCCACCCAAUUGCCCUUCUGCUUCCUGCCAGGAGGUGAGGCAACAGGAGGCCUUUGCUAGGAGCCCACUCUCAGGGGCCACCUGCUUAGCACUAAUGAAAUCAUGGGAGUCCCUCCCCUAUGACCUCACGUGAUGUUAAUUACCUCUCGUGAACUCACUUCCCAAUACCUUUAACAUGGUAAGCCAGCAUUUGCCCAGCUUCUUGCCUGCUCCCAUAGGAAGCUUUAUCAUACCAACAGGCCUCAUGACAGCGCUCACUGAACGCCACGAUACAACCUGAGGUGUCUGUCCCAAACCCCAGAAUUGUGAGCUAAAUAAGCUUCUUUAUGUCCUACACACCCACACCCAGAUGUCUCCUUCUAGCUGUGAAAUGGACGAGGGCACUGCUCUAACUAUUUUGUCUCUGGUAUCCCAGGCUUAGGUUUUGUUUGGAAAGUGUUAGAAAUUAAACUCAAGGGUCUAUUGCAGUUAGCCUUCUAAAGUUAAAUAAGACAGAAAAGAAAAAGAACCUGUAUCUUUAAAAGAUCUGAAUGUUUUUUUUUUUUUUUUUGACAAUCAAAACUCUUGCUACCCUGAACCCCGACAUAUCUCUCAGGAUUUCUUUGUAAAUUAACUAGGAUGGAGCUGCUGUGUUGGUGCCACGGUCACUGCACCUGCUGUGCAGGCCCGGGGACCUUACUUUAAGCUCUAGUGCUCCUGAACAAAAGUUGGGCCUGGUGGCACAGACCUGGAAUUCUAGGCCCAAGCAGGCAGAGGCAGGAGGAUUCCUAGGGCUUGUUAGUCGGCCAGUCUAGCUGAACCAGUGAAUUCAAGGUUCCCUGGGAGACUCUGUGGGCCUGACUUUACAUAACAAAAACUAAACACCCACCAGAGCAGGUAUUCUGUAUCCCUUCUCUUCCUUUCAAUUUAAAAUUCUUCCUUGAGAUUCAGUUCAAAUGUAUUUGCUGUGGUUUAAAUCUGUUUCUACAAAACUCAGGUACUGCAACACAGAGGUCUUUCAAAGAUGAUUGGUCCGUCUGUGAUCCCCCUCACAAAUGAGAUUAGUUUCCCUAAUAGAAGGGAAUGAGGCAGCAUUCAAGGUAGCUUCUUGAGAUAUCGAGCAUCUCUCCCCCCAGUUAAGGAGCUUGCCAGCAUCUUGAUGGCUGACUUCUCAGUUCCCAGGGCUUCGAGAAAGAAAUUUCCAUUCUAAAUAAAUUCUCCAGCCUAUGGUAUUUCGUCAUAGUGGACCAAACGGACCAACACAAUAUCCUCAAUUCUUGCUCAUUCCUGCCUUCUCUGUGGGAGGCACUAUGAGAAGUGAUUAAAAAACAAAACAGAAACCUAGAAAACACAAGGUAUUUCUUAGAACAUUCCAUUUGAGGUAACAAGAUGUUUCAAUAAAAUGCAACUGGGAAAUAAUUAGGGCACUAUAGACAAGUUAUUAGAUGUGUUAGUAUAAACAGCAGGUGAUAAGAAAGAUUAUGGGACAGAAAAGGGGUUUAUUUUGGCUUUCUUGAUAUAUAGACUUCUAACUCAAACAAGCAAAACAAAGCACUUUAAAAACAAACAAAUCAGGGCACUUAAUUAAUGAGGCUCAAGGUUUGAACGUUGAACUGAAGACACUGACCUAUUGAGAUAAAGAACUUGUUUGUUAAAAGUGGCUUAAUAAAUUAAAUAUUUGGGAAACAGUUGAUAAAGAGCUUUGGCUAUUUUUCUAAUUAGCAGUCUGACAUAUGAGCUCUUCAGAAAGACAGUGAAAGCAGAAUUUUGGAGAAGCUAUUGCUAUGGAGGAUGGACUGGGUGACACUAGUGGAUCCGAGCCAGUGCUUAGAAGGAGUUGUGCUUGUCCCCUCCUCUGGGUCUUGUUCAAAGCCCUAGGCUCAUCUACAAUACACAGCUUGAUCCAACCACUUACAUGGAGAUUUGAGCCAUACUCACUAAAGUCAAGAGAGACUAUCCGUAAGAAUCAGUUUAACUAAUUUAAUAACUAGAAAGUUAGAUGUGAUUAUUAAAAGGGACAGUGUGUUGCACAUGUGUCCUGUUCUAUUAAUAACAACACUUAGUCUGUAACAUUAGGCUAGAACAAGCCAGCUUAUUGGUCCUUCAUCAACUCAUCAAGUGUUUACUGAAGCAUGCUUCAAUAUUAGGUGGGAGGCUGUAAGAAGAGAAACAGUGCAGUGAUGCUGAGGCCACAGAGGGCUUAGUGAUGCUGGAGAUGGAAGCAGCAGGCAUCAGGAGGUGUGCAAGGCAGGAAGGCAGGCUCUGAAUACGGCGCUAUGCAUUUUCUAGGAAGGAAUGUGGAUCUGUUUCUUUCUACAAUCACAAGCCACUGAGGUGUUUUUAUAAAUUAAAAAAAAAAUCUUUUAACUUUUAAACAUCUUGUUGUUUAAUGCAAUGAAGCAUUGGUAAAUGCUUAGUACUAUAUCUAGUACAGAACACAUGUCUUUUUGUAAACAGUGCAGCAGAGUGCUGUUUGAGGUAUGAAGGUGAGCCACGGCCUAAAGCAUAAGAUUAUUCAUUCAUUAUUCAAGGCGUUAUUUGCACAGACAAGAAGUUGGGGUUAUUGUUUUUUUUUAAACCCAGGAGCAGAUUAAACAUUAAAUGGAGAGAGAGAGAGAGAAUGGGAUAGAAUAAAAUCAAUAUGGGAACGGCCAGAAAAGUGGGUAGACUUGUCCACCAGGGAAGGCUCAGAUUAAGGAUUAAGGAUUUGUGAUAGCACAUUUACAAACUGAAAACCAAAACAACCUGACAAAUAGACACAGGAAGCCGCGUUCCCACCCCUGACCACAUCUGCCCGGGACUCCCUCCACGCCCUCUUUGGUAACCAUAUUAUCAAUUAUUGUUGUACUCUUUCCAUUUUUUUGUUUGUUUUUGUAUAUCCCACAUAAUGUUUUGGCAAAUACAAAAUUUAAUUAGAAAAAAAGAGGAAGGAAAACACUCAACAUCUAGGAGGGAACUGUUACAGGACAGACACUGGUCAGUGCUUUCAGUUAGGUCACACCUUCCUGAGAACAACUCUGGAAGUUGGCCUUUUAUCCGCCACAAGACAAGACUUCACAUCAGGUGGACAGACAACCAGCCCUUCGCGUGGUACACUCUACACUCUUGCUUCUGGAGUCCCUCUGAUCACACCCCAGGUCCCCUCAUUUCAUCUCACUGCCUCAUCUUCCCAACAGCUUGAAGAUACCCACCUCUCAGCACUGUUUUGAGGACCGAGUCUUGAAGGAAGUCUGAGGCACCAGGGCAGCAGUCUUUAAAAAGAAGCUGCUAUUACGAUGACACCUCUGGGAAACACUUCCUGUAUGAGGCCAAACUCAUUCAACACAUGUUGAUUUCUACUCAUGGAGAUGGUCCCUCUUUGGAUCUAGUCCAUUCUGAUGCCAGCCUUACUCCUGAGCAAGUAAUAACCACAGUCAAUUCUUUAUAUAAAUAGAAAUAAAUCUGGGAAGUAGGUGAAUAGGCUCUUUCUCGAAUGACUAAAUUGAAAGCUUGGGACAAGAGUCACCACAUUCACCCCACACCGAAGGUCAGAAAAUGUCUAUAAAGAGCCAUUUUAGAUUGUGCAGGUCAUGAUGGGAACUACUCCCUUUCCCCUCACUAUCAUGAGCAAGCAAACAAGGAAGGUCGUGUUGGAAGGGAUGAUUGUUAAGCCCAAGGAUCUGCCAUUUUUACCUCUUUCAACAGCAGCUGAGGGGUGUGCAAAGACCAGUGAAUGAUUUAUAUCCUAAUCCAAAUGCAGAGAUGAGUUAAACUGAUAUUAAUGAGAAGUCCUUGAUACUGUGAUCAAAUAGUAGACAGGAAAUCAAGCGGCCAUAGAGUCUGAACACGUGCCACUCAUGCAUCUGAAAUGGAACCUUCAGAAAGGUAAGUUUGGUUUGUUCCUUUGGCAAGGUCUAACUAUGUGGCUCACACCUGCCUUGAACACACUCCUCCUCCUCCCCUAGCCUCCAAAGCGCUGGGGUUACAGCCAUGCACGCCACUCCUUAAGGGCUUCUCCUACCUUGCUGCUUGUGUCCUGUGAAGGCAAGAGCUCUGUGACACGGUCCAGUUUCUACAGAGACUCAGCCUGACCUCCCUGGAGUUUCUGCAUCUGCUGGCGGCCUAGAGUGAGACUUGGUGACACAUACAGGCACUGCCAUCUCUCUGGAAUAGCGUGCAGUGGCCUCUGCCCACUCUGGAGACCUCAGCAGUGUCAUGUCUUGCUUCUGACCACCUUAAUCUCUCCCUUUCUACCACCGUGCUUCUCCUAGAAAUAAGUCAGGGAACAUGGUGUACAUGGAAACCCUGUGUGUUCAUCCACACACCCUUCCCCUGGGCAAAAGAACUCAAAUGCUUUUUUCACUACUUGGAAAUGGCCAGGAAAAUUUAUUUUAAUCAUUCCAUAAAUUAUAGUAGGACAUAAUUAUUUCUCUGUUAUCUGGAUGCUAAUCCUUUUAAAGGAGCAAAUAAACAGGUCCCAUGCACUCAGAAAACAUCCAUCUGCACUUAAUUUGUUUUUUAGAGUCACAGACUCUUUAGACUCAUGACCUGGAAUGCUGGAUAAUCAGCAAAUAUAUUCAGAAUUAAUUUAGUAUCUUAAUUGCUAGUACAGAAAUGGGUACCUUCCUAUGGUUGAAAAAGUAUACAAGUUGGAAUUUUGAAGAAACAAUAUUUCAACUGGAGCUGGAAGAAUUGCUUCUGGGAGCUGGGGGAGCUGUGGAGAUGGCCCAGUCAGAUAGAAAGUGCUAACUUUACAACCAUGAGGCCCAAGCGUGAAACCCCCAACCCACGUCAAAGCCAGACGCAGCAGCAUUCCUGUCAUCCCAGAGACUGGGAGGUCGAAACAGGAGGAUCCCUGGGGCUUGCUGACCAGCCAGUCUGGAUGAAUCACAGGGCUCGAGGUUCAGCAAGAGACCUUAUCUCAGAAAAGAAGGUGGAGAGCCAUUGAGAAAGACACCUGAUAGCCAUCUCCAGCCUCCCCAUGCACGUACAUACGUACACACAGGCACACACAGGAACACGUACGCACACACAAAUAUAACUUUAAACAAACUGCAGCUCAUAAAAGUUUAGUAGGGAGCAGGGGAUGAACCCGAGCAUAGGGAAAUGGAGGCAUAAGAUAGCUCUACGUGCAGGAAAGCAAUGGCCCGUGUCUCUCUAUGACACUCUUAACGACUAGCCUGCUGAUGAGCAGUCAGCUCUAUGAAUAUUUGCUGGGUGAAUGCAUGCAUGCACAUAGGCAGGGAGAAGAGGGGAAGAUGAGGAAAAUCUCAGGGUCAGGGGGCUAAUGCUCAGUAGAAAAACAGAAUUUACCCCCAGACAAGCCAAGAGAAGAGGCCUCAAUGAAAGGAUGCUUUACACAGCUUAGACGGGGCUAAGGGGAGAACACAGGCAUCGGCCUGCUUUUAGCACCCAGGCAUCAGCCAUAUGGGACUGAUACCAGCUCCCAGUUUGAAGGGGCAGGAGCUCCUACAGAGCAGUUAAUACUGGACUGGCAAUGUGAACCCAUUAUUUGUGCCCAACUAGAAUCGGGAGACCAUGAGAGCAAGGCAGGGAACUUUAGCGGGUGACUCAGCCAGGGCUGCAUCUGGCCGUGGAGACAGUCACCAGCUCAGAGGCUGAGCAGAAAUGGAGAGCUGGAUUCAAAAUAAACCGUAUCUUCCUAUCCCUGCGCCUUCAUUCAUUCCUUUCUCCCCAAAGACAUCCAAGGCCCGUUUACCUCAUGUCAAUUGGAUUCAUAAGCUAUUAGCUAUUGAAGAGGUUAGGUGGAAAGGAAGGAAAAUAUGCAGCUCUGGGAAGCAUUUUCCAUGUUCAAAUUCCAACCCUGUCAUUCCUUAUCACUAAGCUGGGUCAGUCACUUCGAAUUUCUACACCUCAACUUCCUUAUCUGUAAAAUUGAGGGAAUUAUAGUGGCUACCUCACAGCUUUGUUAUGAUCACCUGAGAUAAUCUAAAUAAAUUUCUCUGGUCUGACAGAAUGGCUAUAAAGAAAUUGUCCUGGACAAUUGGCUUCAGAACAUCUGUCCUUCGGAAGCGACAUGAAAGUUUAAAGGGAAGGGAGGUGGAAUGGAACACGGGAGGGGAGAGUUUAGAGGGAUGGGGGAGAAGAGGAACAAGGAGAGUCAACACGAGCAAAUUCUGCUUGGAAGUGCCACAAUGAAACCUAACAUGUGUAUGCUAUUUAAAAUGUACUUCAGUUAAAAAAAAAUCAUCAGGCUGGAGGGAUGGCUUGGAGGUUAAAAGCAGUGGCUGCUGUUCCAGCAGACUUAGGUUCGAUUCUCAACACCUGUAUGAAGGCUCACAACUGUCUGUAAGUCCAGUUCCAGGGGAUCCAGUGCCGCCAUGUGACCUCUUUGGGCGCCAGGCCUGUAUGUGGUACCCAGACUUAGAUGCAGUCAAUAUACCCAUACACACGAGAUCACAAGACAUAAUGAUAAAUAAUAGUAACAACAGCAACAAUAACAAAGGUGUCCUAUGGGUUUAAGGAUGUGUUCUCAGUCUGUUGGAGCAAGGUCCUUGGGACUCUGACUGUUACUAUAAGGAAGGCUGUGGUUUCUGGUGACUCUCAGGAUCAUGCUCUGGAACUUGCUUUCGUGUCUAUAGGCCAAGAAGUUCUCUUCCUUAGGCAUUGGCUUUUCCUACUCCAGUGAACCCCACCUACCUGCUAUCCUAACACACAGCUGAGAGUUAGUCACCGGUGCGUUCUCAUAAAUGGCUUCCUUGGCAUUUCAGCACUUCAUUUGAAAAAAAAAAAAAAAAUAACCGAAGCAGAAAGAAAAUCAAGCAACAAGAAACUUUCAUUCUUAAACUCAUUAGUUGGGAAGCUGAGCAAUUUGCUGAGAUCGGCAGGGUUUUGAAUGUAAGGCUAGGCUGCUGAGAGGCAUGUCAGAAACUACAGUCUGAAAGUCUUUCCUCACUUUUACCACGACUUCCGUGUGCCCUGUUGACAGAGCAAUGCCUGUGCUCUUGUCCGCAUCAGAACUGAAACAGACAGACACUCCAUGGGAAGCCAGGUCUGUUUAUGCCUUUCUAUUUUUAAUAGAAUUUUUAUAAAAACAAAUACUCUACUGAGUUCUUAAAUCACUUUGGAAAUGUCUAAAACUGUCGAUCAUGUUCCCAGUUGCAACGCACCAAAUCAUCAAAUACAUAGCGGUUAAGCCAGAGGGUGUACGUUAUCAUUUUGAUAACUGGGAGUUGUUACUGACUCUUCCUGAUGAUUCCUCGGGCUGUUCACGAUCAUAAUACGUGUUUCACAAAAAUACGUGACUUUCUAAACACCGCUUUUCCUGCAAGUCGGGCUUUUGUUAAAGUACUUAAAAUACGUUCAGAUCCGUUAGGACAGAAAGCCCUACAGCAGUGAUUUUCAUGAACCUCCCCUGUCGUUAUUUGAUAAUAUCAAGGCCUCUAGACAGCCCAAAAUCAUAAUUAAUAUAUAUAUAUAUAUAUAUAUAUAUUAUGAUAUCUAAUCAGCAAAACCUAUUGCAUAGAAAUAUUAAAUUCAGCUAGUGUGGGAGACAGGUAUGACACAGGACACAGAAGUUUUCCUACAGAGGAAGUCCAUCCUUGGACCCUUUUUCACACCCUUCUUUUAGAAUACAUCCUCAGGGACUGUGGGGACAGGCCCAGGUUUGGAUUCUCCCAGCUCCAUCACUGACUGCUACAUGACAACUAUGACGUCUCUUUUGUGCCUCGGUGUGAUUACCUGUAAUGGCAAUGCAUGCCUCCUGGGACUGCUAUGAGAACAUAUGAGUGAGCUAAUGCUUGCAAGAGCUCGUGUGGAAUAAAUACAUGGAGCUGCUAUGUUGUUAUUUAAUUGCUUAUGAGUCCAUCUUUUCCCAUGGACUGAGACCUCCUAAAGGAAGUGUUCCAAGUCUCUGGACCCUAAUAUCGUAUCUAGCAAGUAAGAGAUGCACCAUGAAAAGCUUGUAUGAGUUCCUCACAGCAAAGUGGGGUAGAAAGUCACAGUUUCACCAUGGAGAUCCAGAUCUGCUCUCUUGUCUAUACUCUUCCCUUAUUUUAAUAUUCAUUUCUGGUCAAAGCCCAUCAGCACCGCUCAGUUACUAACAAACCGGGUCAGCCGAUGAUGACACUCAGACAGACUGGACAGAGCCCAGUUAGACCAAUGUGGUGGUGCGCAACUGUAACCCCAGCACUCAAGAGGCUGGGGCUGAAAAGGAGUGCUUUGAGAUCAGCCUGGGCUACAUAAAGGUCUCCAGGCUAUCCUGCACUGUAUAGAACUAUAUAACUAUCCCCAAAAAACAACAAAGAAAAAGAGAAAGAAAUGCAGAAGGAGGAUGAGGAGCAUGAGGAGGAGGAGGAGGAGGAGAAGGAAACAGAGGAGUGGAGCACUCACUUUAAAAUAUCAGCCUUGCUAACAUUAGAAGCUUGCAUCAGUUUCUGGUUCCUACGUGGGUCACAGAAACUAGGUCACAUCUAAAUCACAAACUCAGUAGAGUCAAAAGGCACCUUGUCUAAGUAGGAAGUCGAGGUUCAUAAACCAGUCAGUAUCUUGCCUGGACACCACUCUCCUCCCCAGCAGCUAUGGCCUGGAGCUGUGGGACAAGGCUGCACUGGACUCAUUCAUUUCUGAGAAAAGGACAGUGCAUGUAGAAAUGACUGGAUUGUGACGUUGUAGAGGUGAAUUUGUUCUAAACUUUCUAACUUUCUUCCUACUUUAUUUUUCUUUAUGUUUAAAACAUUUUUUAAAGUGAAACACAUAUUGAAUCUUUUCAAAAAAAUUUUGCAUAUAUGGUCUGUGUGUGUGUGUGUGUGUGUGUGUGUGUGUGUGAGAGAGAGAGAGAGAGAGAGAGAGAGAGAGAGAGAGAGAGAGAGAGAAAGAGAGAGAGAGAGCGCACUUGCCCCAUGCAGGUACACAUGAAGACCAGAGGCUGACGUCUGGAUGUCUUUUUCAAUUGAUUCUCCACUUUAUUAACCUAGAGCUCCCUGAUUCAGCUAAGACAACUAGCUAUUGACCCCAGGUUUAGCCUGUCUCUGCCCCAGUCCAGUGCUGAGGUUACAGAUAUAUGCCGCCAUGCCCAGCUGUGUGUGUGUGUGUGUGUGUGUGUGUGUGUGUGUGUGUGUGUGUGUGUGUGUAUGUGUGUAUGCAGGGGUGUACACCAAUGCCUGCACAUACACUCACAUACGUGCAGAGGCCAGAGGCGGGUGUGGAGUAUUUAGCAUCUGUUUACUGAACCUCAUUUAACUCAAACUCUUGUCUUCUUGCUUACGUAGAAGCUUUGCUUAAAAAAAAGUAUUAAACAAACUCACUCUAUGUAUCUGCAUGCUGACUUAUGAAGAGACGUAUUAUCCAUGCUCUUUUGUAAGAUGAGCCAACCAGAAGGAAUGAGGGCUUAGGAUUUGGCACGGUGGUAGAGCGUUUGCCUAGCAUGCCUGAAGGCCUUGAUUCCACUCUCAGUGUCAGAAAAAUAAAUAAGGAGAAACAGGAGUGAUGAAAUCACCCUGGGAGGGGACCUUCAAAGGGCCAUACCCUAGCUCUCUAACUGCCUUUUAUUAACCCAUUACAGGUCAUUACUUAAUUAAACGAACUCUCCAAAUACCCAGGGGAUGAGUGGGAGAAAUAGAUCGGUGGAAUUAACAGGUAGCCAGUGAAUAUGGUGCAGUGAAGGAACUCAGUUCACACUGAGCAGUACCUCUAAGUGUCUAAUAAGUUACCCAGUGAUUUUAUAUGAACAAGGGGUGGAGGAGAGGGGAGUGACUUUGAGACUGACCUGUCUGCCAGGAAUGACUGUCUUCUAAAGGAACAAUUGUGUUCCCUUCUCUGGCUACCAAAUUAUUGGAAUAGUGGACCUCAAGAAAUUAGAAUCUGCUGGGCUAUGGUGGCACACACCUUUAAUCCCAGCACUCUGGAUGCAGAUCUAGGCAGAUCUCUGUGAGUUCAAGGCCCACGAGUCUACAAAAUAGGUUCCAGGACAGCCAGGGUUGUUACACAGAGAAACUCUGUCUUGAAAAAUGGGAAAAAAGAAAGGAAGAAAGAGAAUAAGGGAGGGAGGGAGGUAGGGAGAGAGAGGGGAGAGAGAGAGAGAGAGAGAGAGAGAGAGAGAGAGAGAGAGAGAGAGAGAGAGAGAAGAAAUCAAAAUCUCCGAAGAGAUCUCCUGUGCAGAGGAAAUGGCUGAUGCCCUGGGGGCAGCCAGAGGAGGAACUUGUCUUCUGGACAAAGAUUCACAAGUUGUCAAAUGACUUUGAAGGAAAGACUUGGAACUCUGACCACAGUGGACAGGGAACCACUCUUUGAUGGACUGCUUAAUUAUGCACAUCUCUUGCCUUCUAGUUCAAUCCUACCUCAUGUCUGAACCCCUGCAGAUGGAAUUGGGGGAGUCACUGGAUUACUUUAUCCCUUUUCUCAGUGUGACCAUAUUGAAUAAAUCUCCUGCUUCUGCUUUUCACCAAUAAUUUGACUCCUCUAACUGGCUAAUGAGGGUGAGUGGCCCAAACUGGUUUGUUCGGGCACAGACCGUAACCCCUAGCUAGGUCUGGUGACAAUAUAAUGGCCAUGAAGGGACAAGAAGGAACAUUUUGGGGAUAUCUGGUGCCUGAAGCAGGUUGACUGCGGAUGGAUAGGGAAGAUGGGAGUUGCCAGCAGCGGCUAGAGUCGUUUCACCCCAGGGACAGUUCCUGUCUUUUUACCUCUAUUUGGUGAAGAGUGCUAAAAGAAGCGUUGGAUUUUGUUUUGGAUUCUAGAGAAAGUCUUAACCCUUGGUGAGUUUCUCCCCAUCACUGCAUCUUGGGCUUUGCUUUUCUGCUAUUUUGACUAUUCUGAGCUUCUUUUGAACCAUUUGGGGUGCCUUCCACUUGUUGACUGGCCCUGUCUUUGGGGGUCCUUCUGUUGAGCUCUUUGGGGCUAUUAAGUAGAGAAAUGGUGGCUACAACAAGGAAGAGAACAUGAGCACUCAGAGGCUCUGGGAAUCCAACCGCAGUUAGGACCAAGGGAGACACUGCUCCGCCAUUCCUGCAGGGAGAGCCUUAGGAGGGGAGCCAUGGCUAGGUCUCCUUUAUCUUGGGUUUGCUUUUCCCCUGCAGAGUCCUGUGUAUCUUCAUCCUCACAGAAGGCUCCUGUCAGCUCUGGAAGAGAACAGGACUUGGUUUCUUAGGUUAUAAAGUCUGACUUUACGGAAUGACCAGUGUCUUAAAAGGACAGGCCCAUAAUCUAACAGUAGUGACCUUGGUAGGACAGGCCUGGUCUAUUUGAAAGCCCUUGUGAACUGGAGUUCUGCUGAACUGUUUGUGGCAUUUGCCAUGUGACAAGAAAAGCUGGGGGUUCUUUUGAGUCAUUGGGGUCCUGCUGACUUAGUUCAGAUAGAGAAAGGGGGUGCUAAGAUCUCUGCUGGGAUUUUUGUUUUGUUAAUGUUGAGAUGGGCUAAUUUUGCUUUGGGAUAGUUGUUGAGACAUAAUGCAUUGUGUUGUCAAUAAUGUUAUAGAAUUAUGUAUUUUAAUAUCUAAACUUGUUGUUGGGAGAAUCGGGGUUUCUUUUUUCUGGGUUCUUAGUCUUGUUGAUGCGAGAAAUUAGAAACAGGAUUUAAGGACCAUUACAUCUGGGAGACAGGCAAAGUGGGUAGCCUCAUGAAUGGCAGUCUGCACAAAGCUCCAUGGAAGAAUGGGGGUCUUCCAUGGGAUGGAUAAAAAUGUCCAGUGGCAGGACAGAUAUGUUUAGGAUCUUGGUCAGUAUACAAAGAAAAUGGAAGGGAGGUAAUUUGUGAAGGCUGAUACCUCUACCCCUUUUCCUUUCGCGUGGUACUUCCCAUUCUGUGUGUGUUGCACUGAAAAUGUGAGAUGGGGCCCAAAGUUGACUAGGAAAGAAAGGUUGUCUCCUAUUUAUCUUAAUAGUAUAGUAUAAGUGUACAUCGCAAAUUAUGAAGAUAACACCAACAUUGUUCCCAAGUGGCAAAUGAGAGUUUCUGUUCAUUGAAUUAUUAAACUUGAUGUUCCUGUUGGUAGACAGGACAUUGUUAUGAUAUAUGCAAUAUGCUGUGUAACUCUGGCAGAUGAGCAUGAAGAAAAUGUCACUGGACAUUUAUGUUCAGAUAUGUUUUAAAUAAAACACAGUGGUUAUAAAUGUGUGUUUUCAUGGCUGCCAGCAGCACAUGGUAACACCUGAGCAUCAAAAAUCCACUUGGGAGCUUGCUUCUUGAUUCCAGCUUCUGAUGAACUCCUACCCCCUCCUAGCAAUAUGGAGUUAACUUCCCCUCUCUGCCCCAGAGCUUUGUUCAGGUAGCUCGAUUUCUCGGUGAACUGAAACUUCUCUGCCGGAAAACUUGGUCUUUCAUCUGGUGCUAACUGCUUUGUAUGUUUAUAACUGACACGCUGGGUCUGUUGUUGUUCAUGUAAGCUCUACCAGAAAAGGAUAUUUUUAUUUUUUUUUAAAUUUUAAAUAUUUCAAUAUUUUUAAAGGACAAAACCAACUCUAAAAAGUGUUUAUCUUCAUGAUUCAGUGUCUGUUCAGCUUAAGUCACCAGUUUUCCUUUUGAAACAGAGGAAAGGGUAGACCUAGGAAUGGCGGCAGGCGCUGCCUCUCUUUCUGCCUCAGCCUCUUUGCAGAGAAAUGCCUGCUGGCAACCGGAAAUGACACUUGGUGUAUGACGUCCUUAGGAGUAUGUGUUAAGAUCAACCCACGUGAGUCUAUUUAACGGGUAGUAGGGAUUUAUUAAGAUAUAAACUGAAGAAACACACUCCCGAAUACAGAACCGAGUAGACAGCUGAAGUGGUCCUCCACUUGGUGGUUCGAUCAGACCAGGCAGCAGGCAGCAGGGAGAAGGGCUCAUGACCCUUCUCCCUUACCUUUUAAGAGGUCACAUACAACGGCAAGAAGCACCGCCUCCUUCAGGCCAUAUAGACUAAGGUCAUGGGCAGAGCAAAUACCACCACCACAACUAUGAUUGUUGAAGAAGAGAAAAAAAAAACAAUAGUUGUUUUUUGGUUUGUUUGUUUGUUUGUUUGUUUAAGCUUUUGGUCUUUGUAAACAUAUUAAAAUAUGUCUGAGCUAAAAAUGAAAUAUAAUUCUGUCAGCAUUUUAGAGUACAGACUCACAGGAGACAGACUUUUAUACUGCCUCCCUCAGCAACCUGAGAGGUCCCCCUGGAGUUUUAGGGGCCUCAACUCAGGUCUAAACAGGGAUGCAUGGUUUUGACACUGAAGGCAGUUUCAGGACUAGCUGGUGUAGUAAAGUGGAGGUGGAAAGACAUCUUAAUAUAGGCCCAAGCUUGUUUGAGAUUGCCAGGGAAAAGGAGUGAGGUGCCGCUCAAGGCCAAACUCAUGCAGGCUUUAAGCCUGACUUGUGGCUCUUUUAGCAUAAAAUAUCUAUAUGUGGAAGGAACAUUACCUCUCUGUGGGAAGCCUUUUCCUAGCAAAUGUUAAUUGUACUGAAAUUCUUACUUCUCAGCUGGUGAAAGCCUCUACUAAGAAUUUUAAGAUGGCGACUCCUCUCUCUUUCAUGGCCCUCCAAUUCUUCUGUUUUUCUCUCAUGCCACAAAUCAACCCCUCAAAAAUUUGAAAUGCAAGUCAGGUUAAAGUUUCUUUCUAGUCAUCCACAGACUAUUGACAGCGGAGAGUCAUGGGGAUGCUGAGAAAGGUGGCUGUGGAGUCCUGAGGCUGCGGGGAGAGGAGGCUGAGCUGUUGCUUGGUUCUCAACAUGGAUGAUGGUCACUGACUCCAGAAACCAACUGGCACCUGCUUAAAAUGGGUAAUGAUGAACCUUCAUAAAUGCUGAGCACCCUCUAUAAAAAGGUUCAUUACGUGUGUGUGGUAUAGUGCUGACUUCUUAGUGUCACAGACUGAAAAAGACAUUGAGGAAUCUGCCACCUGGACAGCUGCUGUUUGCAACCCUGGUACAUGUGUUUACCUUGACAAAAAAGAGCUGUUCAAAGAAAUCCACAUGGUGGACAACAACAUGGAGGAAUCAGUCGUCUGUGUGCAGAGGCUGGAGGGAAUGGAGGAGACAGAAGAGGGUGCACACGGUGUCAUGGCAAUAAGAUGUGGUCACCACAGCUCGGCUGCCGCCACCUGCUGCCAUGCCUUACCCACCAUGAUGGAUUCUCUCUUUAAAACGGAUAGACUGCAUUCCUCAAAAUGCAUGAUAAGAGAGAGGAUCCUGAAGUCAAGACCCGGCUGGGUGUGUUCUGGACAGCUGGUCCCAGCGCUUGCUCCUCUUUCCACCCUUGGUUCUCAAUUUGCCGGUCCAGUUUUUCUCCUAACUAAAUGCAGGAAGGAGGGAAGAGAUGGCGUUUCCUGCCUGUGAAGUUUGUCCCUUCCACUUUAACAAAAAUAAUCACUGCCAGUAAGAUUGUUCAACUUACGAAAAGAUAAAUGUUUGCAAAAGGAUAGGAAACAGGACAAAAAGUACUUCUCUGCUGAGCCUGGGGUUAAAAUCUGAACUUGGACUCAAGAGACACUCCUCUUUACUGAUAAGGAGCCAAUUUGGGAAGCUCAGCAUUACUACUCUGAGGGUCUGUCUUAUUUAGUAUGUCCAACUAAUAUGGAGUAUUCAUCACUUCUUUGUAUGACUUUUGCUUUUUAAAAUUGUUACAUAUUUAAGACUGGGCAUGGUAGUGCAUGCCUUUAAUCCUAGCACUCCAGAUGCAGAGGCAGGGGGAUCUCUGUGAGUUUGAAGCCAGCCUGAUCUACAUAGUGAGUAACAGGCCAGUCAGAGCUACACAAUAAGACCCUGUCUCAAAACAAACAAAAAACUAAACAAGUAAUUACAUAGUUUUCAUAAUAGCCUAAGUUCAUUGUAGAAAAAUUUAAAAUACAUAAAUAUAUAACAGAAAGUUAUUCUGUAAUCUACACCAAUUCUGGGCUAUUUUCUUAGAUGUAAACAUCCUUAUUCAUAAUGUAUUAUAAAUUUAUGUAUAAUACAUCUGUUAAUAAUGACUAUAUGUGUGUAUUUUAUAUACAUAACUAUUUUGAUAUGUUCUUAUCAUCUUCUUUGUAUACAAAUGAGAGCACUGUGCACAUUAUAAUGAAACUUGUUCCAUUCACAUAACAAUACAUAGUAUAGCCAAUUGCUGGUAAGCACCUAUAAACCUACUUUACUUUUUGCCCCUGCUGUAGAACUCCAUUCUAGUAAUAUACUGUGUAUGAGUAAUUCUGAGGCAUUUUAGUUUUUAGAAACUCUAUACACUUAAGAAUUACUAAAGAGGGCUAGCAAGAGAGCUCAGUGGUAAAGGUUCACCAUUUAAGCCUAAUGGCCUAAGUUUCAUCCCCCCAAUUCUUGAUGGAAAAGCUUUUGACCUUCAUAUGCAUGCCCUGGUACACAGGCACCCACACUCACACACCCAUAUCCCAUACAUACACAUACAAGUGCACAUAUACUCAUACACAUAAUAAUAAAUAGAAAUUUUAAAUUAACACAGACCUUGGAGAGUUCUUAUUAAUAUAUCAAUAUAAAUGCCUAAGUUUAUAAAACUAUUCUUGAUAAAUUUUACAAGCAUGUUAAUGAAGUAAAUUAUAAUUAUAGUUUAACAAAAAUAUCUUAUGAAAUUUAAAAUUAACCAUAUUUUCCAAGAUAAAACAAUUUAGUAAAGAAAACUGGCAUUGCUUUAUAAAAUGUAUAAGUCUCUUUGAUUUUUGGCCUAAUUAAAAACACUAGAGCUCUUGUAUUUGCUUCUCCAUUCAAUCUGUUACAAAUAUUGUUUCAGUAAAUUAUACAAAGACAAUCUGGUCCCACACAGAUCUGUUGUUGGUAAAGGGAGGAGUGUUUGAUAAAACAGUCAGGCAGUGAUGGUGCACGCCUUUAAUCCCACCACUCACCCACAGAGGAAGUGGAUCCUGAGUUCGAGGCCAGCCUGGUCUACAGAGUGCAUUCCAGAGCAGCCAGGGCUACACAGAGAAACCCUGUUUUGAAAACAACAAUAAAAGACCUUUCUGGGUCAUUGUGAUUAUUCUUAUCUGAUCAGACUAAAAUUCAAUAUAUUAGUAAUUUCCUAAGUUUAGUUACAAUAGAGAAUCUGAAAACACAUCAAUAAACUUCUACUUCAUUACAUUAAAAUCUUCUAUUUUACCUUACAUUUUUGAAUGAAUCAUUUACCCAUACCUGAAUUUGCUAAUCAUUUUGAAAAUAAGUUCAUGUUAGGUACAUUUCCUAAAUGUUAAUAUAUUUUAUUUCGUUGUAACAUAAAAUUACAUUCAUAUAUCACCACCAGUAUUUCCCCCAAAGUUUUCAGACAGAGUCUUGCAAAGUUCAUGGAGCAAAUGUAAGGUUUCCAGAACUCUCGUUUUCUCUUGAAAGCUCAGAUUUUACCAUUGUCAAUAAACAUGGCCCACUGUACUGUUUUCCCUGAAGUGAUACAGUUCAAACUUCACCUAUCUUUGUAAAUCUGGCAAAUAACCAAUUUCUAAGAAAUACAGUUAUUUCUUCUUUGUGAAGAAUGUCUUUCCAUUACAGUUCCACUCAAACAACAGGCUAAGUGCUCUCCCUGGAGGAAGCCCCAGUCCACACGCAGCUGAGAUGCUUCAUAUCGUCUCUCAGAAUGUGAAGAGACAAGAACUCAAGGGUCAGGACUGAGUGAAACUGGUCAUGUGUACUGGUUCACCAAGGACAAGUCUUAAGUAAAACUGGCCUUUUAAAAUAAACAAAACCGCAUGGUGGCAAAGGAUGGAAUGAUUACUCUCAGCUCCUGUUCCUGCCUUCAUUCCUGCUAAAACUUUAACAGUCCUACCCACCAUCCCCUUUGCACUGUCUGUGAAAACCAACACAACAAAAAACUGAGCAACACCUUAGUGCUUCUAAGAGAAUAGUUUUGAUCCUUCAGUCACCUAAGGGGACUAAGGACGGCAUUUUGAGAACAGCUCUACUAUGUACGCAUUUAGACAGGCCCACCUUCAACACUGAGUCUUUUGUUAAAACAAACCCCCAUAAUAAAUAUCUUUAAGUUACUGUUUUUUGAUAUUUCAUUUUCUCUGGGUGCUCAAUUGUUCCAGUUUCAAUAAAAUUAAAAAGCUACAAAUCUUUUGCUUCAGUCUCUUAUGGCUACUUAAGUAUUUGUUGACAGCAAGGAUGAAGACCUGUGAAAAUCGA